AAUGCACCUGUGGUAUAUGGAAUUUUCCUGGCUAGAGAGUGAAUCUGAGCUGCAGCUGAGGCCUAUGCCACAGCCAUGGCAACACCAGAUCCAAGCACUAUCUGUGACCUAUGCUGCAGCUGUUGAAAUACUAGACACAAUGCAAAGAGUGAAGCCAGGGAUCAAACCUGCAUCCUCAUGGAGACUAUGUUGGGUCCUUAACCUGCUGAGCCACAAGGGGAACUCCCAAACCUCAUGAUUCUAUGUGCCUUCUCCUCUCCAUUUUCUCAAAGAGAAAAAGAGGCAAUGAAGAGGGUAGAGUCUCCUGAUACAAAAGAUAAUUAGCUAUGGGUCUUUAGGUUGGCUGGGAGGCCAUCUUCUCAUUGGAGUAAGAGCUGGGAUGGAAUAGUGCAGCAGUGGCUGGCAUCUGGGGGAGACAGCCAGGAGGGGAAAGAACAGAUUUGAAAUAUUCCAGGACUGGACUCUUCUUCUCUCCAAGCCUCAAUUUUCUCAUUUGUUUAAUGAGAAAAAAAAAGCUGCAAGGAUGUGAUGAAAUAAUUCAUGCAAAGCAUCUCACACAAAGCCUGGCACAUAACAGGCUUUUAAUGAAGGGAUAGUUAAUUAAAUUGAAUUGAGCUAGAUGUCUUGCCUUGAUCCUGGAAGGAAGCAACUUUAUGGCAACCAACCAGUUUCCAGAAAAUGUGACAUUGCUUCAUCCUCCUGUGCCUUUUCAUUGUUCCUUUUGCCUGGAACCCAUUUCCUCUUUUUGAGUGUGACAAAAAAACUACCUUGGAUGUAAACCUUCCUUCAAAUGACCCAGAGGAAAGUAAACUUCUCCCUUCUUUGUGCUGGCUGCACUUGAGCCAAUGUCUGUCAUAAUAUUUCCUUAUUCUAUUGCACAUAUUACUUAUGUGACUGUCUGCCCUGUGGGCCUUGAGCUCUUUGGUUCAAUAUUAAUUCAGCAAACAUUUAUUGAGUCCUUGUCUGUGCUACGUAUGGCCCUGUGAUUCAUUUUUCUCCCUCCAGGGUCUGGUAUGUAAUCAGUGCUCAUUAAUAUUAGUUGAAAAUAUGAAACUGAAAAGAAUGUGAAUGUUAAUAUCAUGCGGAUUUGGUUUUAAGACUGGGUUCCACCACUUUCUGGUGUGUAACUUGGGGCAGGUCACCUCACCUUCCACAGGCUCUUUUCUUGUUGUCAAGUGGGAGAUGUAAUAUCUCUGUAGGAGAAAAGCAGUGUGCAGCACCUGGAGGUGAGUAAAUGCUCUUUCUCCUUCCUUUAAGAGGAGUUUAGGAGUUCCUUGGUGGCUCAGAGGGUUAAGAACCUGGUGUUGUCACUGCUUUGGCUUAGGUCACUGCUGUGGCACAGGUUGGAUCCCCGGCCUGGGAACUUCCAUAUGAUGUGAUUGUGGACAAACAAACAAACAGACUAUUUGGAUUAAAAAAAUUGAUUAUAUCGAGCUCCCAUCGUGGCUUAGAGGUAACAAAUCCAACUAGUAUCCAUGAGGACUCAUGUUUGAUCCCUGGCAUCCCUCACUGGGUUAAGGAUCUGGUCUUGCCUUGAGCUGUGUUGUAAGGCACAGACACAGCUUGGAUCCCAUGUUGCUUUGGCUGUAGUGUAGAGUGGCCACUGCAGUUCUGAUUUGACCACUAGAAUGGGAACUUCCAUACGCUAUGGGUGAAGCCCUAAAAAUAGGCCAAAAAUUGAUUAUAUUGCAUGUUAGUGAAGUUGUGAUGGUAAAAUGUAAACUGAGCAAUUUGGAGGACAAUCUGGCAAUGAGCUAUGCAUACACAACCAUGCAUACCCUAUGUCUUAGGCUGCUUGGAUUCUGUCAGAAAGCACCACAGACUAGGUGGCUUAGGUGGCUUAAGCAACAGGCAUUUAUUUCUGCAGUUCUGGAGGCUGGGAUACCCAAGGUCAGGGUGCCAGCAUGGUUGGAUUCUUGUGAGGGUCCAAUUUCAGACUUGCUAAUGGCUGCCUUCUGACUUUAUCUCAUAUGAUCUUGAAAGACAGAGAUGAACUCUUCUCCUAAGGGCACUGAUUCCAUCAUGAGGACCCCACCCUUCUGACCAUAUCUAAACCUCAUUACCUCCCAAAGACCCCACUUCCAGAUGCCAUCACAUUGGGGGUUAGGGCUUCAACAUAUGAAUUUUGAGGGGUGGUGACAUAUUCAGUCCAUAAUAUCUAGUAACUCCUCUUCUUGGUGUUUUGAAAACUCUCCCAAAUGUACACAACUAGAGAGAUGCAUAAGGAUGCCUAGAGUCUUGGACUGUUUGUAAUGGCCAAACACUAGCCAAACCUAAAUGUUUGUCUGUAAGCUUAUGGUAGUUAAUUGUGAAGUCAAUGUCUAUGUAUCAAUAUGGAGAAAUCUCAUAAACAUAUUGAGAUAAAAGCCUAAUUUGUGGAAAAAUAUAUAGUUUGAAUGAAAAGCACAAAAUAUUUUAUGGUUUUCCUUGUACACCAAAUGUACUGCUGGUUGCUCCAAGCAGAGACGAGGUCCCAAUUUAAAGGGCCUCAGGACAUCUCAAAGGAUUUCAUCAGCUUUGCCUCAUCUCCAUAUUCAUAACUCAUCCUUCUCUGUUUUUCCUUUAUUUUUUUGGCCCCAUCUGUAGAAUGCAGAAGUUCCCUGUCCAGGAGAAUCAUGUCACAGUAGUACCUUGAGCCACAGCACUGACAACAUCAAAUCCUUAACUGAUAGGCUCCCGAGGAACCCCCUUCUUAUCUUUUCAGACUCAGCUCAGGGGUCAUCAUCUUUUCCCAGGAGAGUUUAUGUGAACAUCCAACCACCCCACCUCUCAUUCUGGAACCCCACCCCCUGGGCUCUCUAUUAUAACCCUACUUCAUCAUUUUAUAAUGAUCUAAAUGUUGUUCUCCCUCACCUAACUGGACAGUUGGGACCAUGCCCAAUUCUUUCCUCUACUCUUCAUGAUACAGAAUUUUAGAAAAAAAUAAUUUUAGGGGUCAUCUCCUUCUCCUUGGUGGGGAUCACUCCUAGAGUUCAGACAGUGUCUGGGGGUAGAAAGCUGUGGACUUCUAGAUCCACCCAACAUCACAUUCUCCAUGAAUGUAAUCAGCUUGGUGGCUGAGGUUCUGCAUCCAGAACCCAGCUGGAAGCAAAGCCCUUGCGUGUUUCCAUCUACUCACAUGGAAGCAAACACCAGUUAUCAUCACAAAGUGAGGAGCAUCUGUAUAAUGGGGACCAUGAGACUUCAAGGCUUUGAAAUUGCUUUGAAAUUUUGGGGUGCAAGGAGCCCAAAACAUUAGUUAAGCAGUUACUAUGCAGUGUGUGUGUGUUCAGAAAUCAUAGAGUGAGUUCUCCAUGAAUUUCUCUCUAUUGUCUUACUGCCCAUGGGGAGUAAUCCUGACAUCCGGGGACAUUCAUUUUGUUCCUUGAAGGAAAGAAGAUGUAAUUCCAAAGAAGGAAGGAGAUAAGAAGGUAUGAAGUUGGGGCUUGAACUCAGAUUUGGCACCAAAUCCAAUUUUCUUUGUCUCUAGGCAGAGACUCUAAUUAGCUCUCUUAAAAGAUUAUGAAAUUAGAGUUGCCACUGUCUCGCAUCUGUUGUCUCAUCUUUAGAUGGGGCAUAUUGGGUCAGAUUGGGGGUUCCAGUCUACUCUGUGGACCUCUGUCACUGGAGUUGCCAGUGGAGCUUUGUUAAAAACUGUAUGGCUCUCAGCAGUGGUCAAAAACUGAUUCAAUUCUUCUAGAGAAGGGCUCAGAAAUCUGUACUUGUAGAAAAUAUUCCAGGUGAUUCUGAUAUGUAGCUUGAUUUGGGACCCCAUAGUGUCAGAGAUUCUCAAUCUUUAAUGCACUUAGGGAGCUUUUUAAAUGCAGAUUCUGCCUCAGAAGGACAGGGAGGGGCCUGAAACUCUGAAUUUCUAACAAACUCCCAGGAGACACUGAUGCUGCUGGUUCGGGUACCAUGCUUGGGAUAUUGAGAGCAUAGGUUGUAUUGGACAGCAUUCCAUGCUCUGAUGUAUUAAUUUCCUUUUUUUUUCUUUUUAAGGUUUCAACUGCAGCAUAUGAAAAUUCUCAGGCUAGGGGUUGAAUCAGAGAUGUAGCUGCUGGCCUGCACCACAGCCACAGUAACACCAGCCUGAGCUGCAUCUGUGACCUAUGCUGCAGCUCAUGGCAAUGCCGGACCCUUAACCAGUGAGUGAGGCCAGGGAUCAACCCCACACCCUCAUGAACUCUGUGGUGGGUUCUUAACCUACCAACCUCCUCCUGAUAGCUCCUUUCUCCCUACUGAUGACUUUUUUGAGUCUUCCUGUCUCCCCAGGCCCCACUAUACUCAUGAACACUUUUCAGUGUGGCGAGGCUGGACUCCUGGUAUUUAUCAGGAUGUGGCCUCCCCAUUUCCUAAGGAGCCCCUGUUCUUAGCUCUUUCACCCUCAGCACUCAGACAUCGGAUAUGUCUCUUGCUGCUCUCACCAUGAUGGUGCAGGAUUAGGGGGUUGGUAGGACAUACCUAGAAGGUGGAGGUGGGUGAUGAGUUCUUCUCACAGAGCAGCUUCAGUCCAGUUGUGGGGUGAUGAUGGCAGGGGGAGGUGUCAAGGACAUGCCCCACCCCAGAAGUAGGAACUGGGGACAUGUAUUCUCCUUGGACCCUUAGGGAUGAUCUCUAUUUGCCUGCUGACUCCUCCCCCUCCCUCUGCUGUCCUGAACUCAUUAUGGCACAGCUGAAAUGAAUCUGACUAGGAACCAUGCAUUUGCAGGUUUGAUCCCUGGCCUUGCUCAGUGGGUCAAUGAUCCAGCAUUGCUGUGAUCUGUGGUGUAGUCACAGAUGCAGCUUGGACCAGGUGUUGCUGUGGCUGUGGUGGAGGCCAGCAGCUGUAGACCCCUAUCCUUGGAACCUCCAUAUGCCAUAGGUGUGGCCCUAAAAAAGACUCCCUCUCCACAGCCUUUGUGGAUUCCAUGACAGCUGGUGGCAGAGGAAAGUCCAGGAUGAUGCAUGCUUUGGAGCCUGGG
rnacentral:lncRNA from 1 species